rnacentral:rRNA from 1 species
UGCAGUCGAGCGCCCCGCAGGGGAGCGGCAGACGGGUGAGUAACGCGUGGGAAUCUACCCAUCUCUACGGAACAACUCCGGGAAACUGGAGCUAAUACCGUAUACGUCCUUCGGGAGAAAGAUUUAUCGGAGAUGGAUGAGCCCGCGUUGGAUUAGCUAGUUGGUGGGGUAAUGGCCUACCAAGGCGACGAUCCAUAGCUGGUCUGAGAGGAUGAUCAGCCACACUGGGACUGAGACACGGCCCAGACUCCUACGGGAGGCAGCAGUGGGGAAUAUUGGACAAUGGGCGAAAGCCUGAUCCAGCCAUGCCGCGUGAGUGAUGAAGGCCCUAGGGUUGUAAAGCUCUUUCAACGGUGAAGAUAAUGACGGUAACCGUAGAAGAAGCCCCGGCUAACUUCGUGCCAGCAGCCGCGGUAAUACGAAGGGGGCUAGCGUUAGUUCGGAAUUACUGGGCGUAAAUGCUGCACGGCUGUAGGCGGAUACUUAAGUCAGAUGUUGGGUGAAAUCCCGCAACGGGCUCAACCCCGGAACUGCCUUUGAUACUGGGUAUCAUGGAGUCCGGAAGAGGUGAGUGGAAUUCCGAGUGUAGAGGUGAAAUUCGUAGAUAUUCGGAGGAACACCAGUGGCGAAGGCGGCUCACUGGUCCGGCUACUGACGUGCUGCAAUGGUGCGAAAGCGUGGGGAGCAAGACAGCGAUGUAGAUACCCUGGUAGUCCACAGCCGUAACAGAUGGAAGCUAGCCGUUGGCAAGUUUACUGCAUGUCGGUGGAAUCGCUAGCUAUCGCAUAUAAGCUUCCCGCCUGGGGAGUACGGUCGCAGAUUAAAACUCAAGGAAUUGACGGGGCCCGUCACAGCGGUGGAACAUGUGGUUUACUUCGAAGCACGCGUGCAAACCUUACCAGCCCUUGACAUCCCGGUCGCGGUUACCAAAAUGAUUCCUUCAAUU